rnacentral:rRNA from 1 species
UACGUAGGGUCCGAGCGUUGUCCGGAAUUAUUGGGCGUAAAGAGCUCGUAGGCGGUCUGUCACGUCGGCUGUGAAAACACGGGGCUCAACUCCGUGCCUGCAGUCGAUACGGGCAGACUAGAGUUCGGUAGGGGAGACUGGAAUUCCUGGUGUAGCGGUGAAAUGCGCAGAUAUCAGGAGGAACACCGAUGGCGAAGGCAGGUCUCUGGGCCAUAACUGACGCUGAGAAGCGAAAGCAUGGGGAGCGAACAGG